rnacentral:lncRNA from 1 species
GCGUGAACAGCAAGCGCAUCUACCCGUGCAUGGUGGACCUGAGCCGCACCUGCGGCGACGUGGACUUCCUCCUGGUCAUGGGCGACGAGUCGGACGCCACGCGGGAGCUGUGCAAGCGGGAGGGCAUCACCCAGGUGCCGCACUUCUCCUUCUACAAGGGCACCGAGAAGGUGCACGAGGAGGAAGGCAUCGGCCCCGACCAGCUCGCCGGCGACGUGCUCUACUACGGCGACAACCACGCCGGCGUCGUGCAGCUGCACAGCCGGGCCGACGUGGAGGCGCUCAUGGCGGAGAACAGCGGCGAGGGCGGGAAGCUGCUGGUGCUGGACGUCGGGCUCAAGCACUGCGGGCCCUGCGUCAAGGUCUACCCCACCGUGGUCAAGCUGUCCCGCUCCAUGGCCGACACAACCGUCUUCGCGCGCAUGAACGGCGACGAGAACGAUGCCUGCAUGGACUUCCUCAAGGACAUGGAGGUCGUGGAGGUGCCCACCUUCCUCUUCAUCAGGGACAACAAGAUCGUCGGCCGCUACGUCGGCUCCGGCAAGGGCGAGCUCAUCGGCGAGAUCCUCAGAUACCAGGGCGUCAGGGUCACAUACUGAACCCACCAAGGCAUCUCACCAGCCGGAAUAAUUAAGUUGGAUUUUCAUCCCACACAUGCAGGCGCAGCACAUAGAAUUACUCCCUUGUGAAUUUGGCCAAAAGUAAAGGAGUACGCGCUCCUGU